rnacentral:rRNA from 1 species
AGAAUGAACGCUGGCGGCGUGCUUUACACAUGCAAGUCGAGCGAGGCGUGUAGCAAUACACAGCCCUAGCGGCGAACGGGUGAGCAACGCGUGGAUGACCUGCCCUUUAGCGGGGAAUAACCCGGGGAAACUCGGGCUAAUACCGCAUACGACCGAGAGGUGAAAGGGGGCUCGCAAGGGCUCUCGCUGAAGGAGGGGUCCGCGUUCGAUUAGCUAGUUGGUAGGGUAACUGGCCUACCAAGGCGACGAUCGAUAGCGGCCUGAGAGGGUGAUCGGCCACACUGGAACUGAGACACGGUCCAGACUCCUACGGGAGGCAGCAGUGGGAAUUUGCGCAAUGGGCUAACGCCUGACGCAGCAACGCCGCGUCGGAGGAUGAAGGUCUUUGGAUUGUAAACUCCUAGUCAGUCGAGGAAAAGCGACUUGACCGUACGACUACGUCAGGGACGUUAGAUUACGUACCUGCGUAGAAGGAACG